rnacentral:rRNA from 1 species
GAUGAACGCUGGCGGCGUGCUUAACACAUGCAAGUCGAACGAUGAAGCCCAGCUUGCUGGGUGGAUUAGUGGCGAACGGGUGAGUAACACGUGAGUAACCUGCCCUUAACUCUGGGAUAAGCCUGGGAAACUGGGUCUAAUACCGGAUAGGAGCGUCCACCGCAUGGUGGGUGUUGGAAAGAUUUAUCGGUUUUGGAUGGACUCGCGGCCUAUCAGCUUGUUGGUGAGGUAAUGGCUCACCAAGGCGACGACGGGUAGCCGGCCUGAGAGGGUGACCGGCCACACUGGGACUGAGACACGGCCCAGACUCCUACGGGAGGCAGCAGUGGGGAAUAUUGCACAAUGGGCGCAAGCCUGAUGCAGCGACUCCGCGUGAGGGAUGACGGCCUUCGGGUUGUAAACCUCUUUCAGUAGGGAAGAAGCGAAAGUAACGGUACCUGCAGAAGAAGCACCGGCUAACUACGUG